AACGUGCUCCGGGGUCGGUGAAAGUCCGAACCGGCGGUGACAGUCCGCGACCCGAUGGCCCGCUCCAGCGUGAGUGGGCCCUCGGUUGAACCGGUGGAAUUCCGGUACCGACAGUCAGAGUCUGGAUGGGAGAAGCACGUG
rnacentral:ncRNA from 2 species